CGUUCUAUAGUUGAAAACGCACAACGCCAAAUUGCAAAUUUGAUGGUAGAUGUAUGUCUUAGAAUGU
rnacentral:tRNA from 1 species